rnacentral:rRNA from 2 species
UCUGACCUGCCCAUUGGAAAACUGAAAGGCCGCGGUAUUAUGACCGUGCAAAGGUAGCAUAAUCAUUAGUUUUUUAAUUGAAGGCUAGAAUGAAUGGUUGGACAAGAAAUAAUCUGUCUUAAAUUAAUAUAUUGAAUUUAACUUUUAAGUGAAAAGGCUUAAAUGAUCUAAGGGGACGAUAAGACCCUAUAAAACUUUAUAUUUUAAGGUGGAAAAUAAUUUUAUUUUAAAAUUACUAUUUUAAAUUAUUUUGUUGGGGCGACAAGGAUAUAAGAAAGGAUAACUGUCUUUUAUUUUUACAAUAAUAUUUGAAUUAUUGAUCCUAAAAGGGAUUAAAGAUUAAGUUACUUUAGGGAUAACAGCGUAAUUUUCUUUGAGAGUUCUUAUCGACAAGAAAGUUUGCGACCUCGAUGUUGAAUUAAAGGUUCUUUAUAGAGUAGAGACUAUAAGAGAAGGUCUGUUCGACCUUUAAAAUUUUACAUGAUUUGA